rnacentral:rRNA from 1 species
CGGGUGAGUAAUGUCUGGGAAACUGCCUGAUGGAGGGGGAGUAACUACUGGAAACGGUAGCUAAUACCGCAUAACGUCGCAAGACCAAAGAGGGGGACCUUCGGGCCUCUUGCCAUCAGAUGUGCCCAGAUGGGAUUAGCUAGUAGGUGGGGUAACGGCUCACCUAGGCGACAAUCCCUAGCUGGUCUGAGAGGAUGACCAGCCACACUGGAACUGAGACACGGUCCAGACUCCUACGGGAGGCAGCAUG